AUAUUAUAUUAUAUUUUAAUUGUUUCUAAUAAAAUAUGAGUAUUUUGAUUUUGUGUGGUUUGUCUUCUCCGGGCGGAUACCCAACAGUGGUAUCAGAGCGUUGUUAAGGGUCCGUCCGGAGCGGCGUACGAAACCCUGGUCCAGGGGUUUCGCUCAGGUAUAAAUUUCUACUCUUGGUGAGUUGAUUGAUUCUUUGUGAUAAUUAUACCUGUUAUUGGUGAAUCUUGGUGAUUCUUUGUUUAUUGCUUCCGCUAAUAUUUUGUGUGAAUCUGUGUGAUUCUUUAUCUUUGUGAUACUUGAAAAAUUGGAAUCUUUGUGAUCCGUUUUUGCUCUGAAAUUGUGAAUCUUUGUGAUUCUAUAAUUGUGUGAUUUUUUGAAAAAAAAAAAUUGUGAAUCUUUGUGAUUCGAUUUUGCUAAAGUUUAUUGAAUCUUUGUGAUUCUCUUGUGUGUUGAUCCUGCUGGUAUUUAAUCUUGGUGAUUUUGCUAUCUUUGUGAUACUUGAAUAUGGGAUCUAUGUCUAUGUUAUCUUUAGCUCCUUUCGAUGGAAAGGGUGAUUUUUCUAUUUGGCAACAAAAAAUGAAAGGUAUUUUAAUUCAUCAAAAAUGCUUUAAAGCGAUUUCUCUAAGUGAGGAAGUUUUUAUAACUGUUGCUAAACGUGAAGAACUUGAUGAUCUUGCUUAUUCUGCUAUUAUCUUGAAUCUAAGUGACUCUGUGAUUAGAAAAGUAGGAAAGCAUGAUUCUGCUAGAAGUUUAUGGGAUAAAUUGGAAGAGCUUUAUGUUGAAAAUUCUUUGCCCAAUAAAAUGUUUUUGCUUGAAAAGUUUUUUGGAUUUAAAUUGGACUCUCGCAAAAAUAUUGAUGCUAAUAUUGAUGAUUUUACCAAGUUAGUUCAAGAUAUUAAAUUAACUGGUGAUAAGAAUAUUGAUGAUUAUACCCCUAUUGUGCUCUUGAAUGCUAUUCCUGAUGUUUAUAAUAAUGUUAAGUCUGCUAUUAAGUAUGGUAGAGAUAAAAUUACGUUAGAUACUGUGAUCAAUGCUUUAAAAAGCAAAGAGCUUGAAUUGGGAAUUAAUAGGGAUAAAUCAUUUAGUGAAGUUAAUUUUGCUAAAGGAAGUCAGUCUAAUCGUUUUCAAAACAAUAAGGCUUCUUCUAGUCCAAUUGAUCAAAAUACGNNNNNNNNNNNNNNNNNNNNNNNNNNNNNNNNNNNNNNNNNNNNNNNNNNNNNNNNNNNNNNNNNNNNNNNNNNNNNNNNNNNNNNNNNNNNNNNNNNNNNNNNNNNNNNNNNNNNNNNNNNNNNNNNNAAUAUGAUAUCGGAUGGUGGUGAUGUAUUCUAAUGUGUUAGAAUAUUUUGCAUUACUUUGUGUUUUGCUUGUUUUUUGCAUUACUUUGUGUUUUGCUUGUUUUUUUUUUUUUUUUUUUGCAUUACUUUGUGUUUUGUUUUUUAAACUUGUACUAACUUUGUGUUUUGAGUGCAGGUAGUGUCAUACGGCAAUGAUGACUUCGUUUCUCCUAAAAGGGUCCCGGUGAUCCAUUUGGGCCAGGUGGAGAUUUGUAGAGUAUGUGGCCCAAAUGAAUUCUUUGUGAAUGGCCCAUUAAAAUCCCACCUUGCAACCCACUUACGAGCAGCCCACAAAAUUUGAGCCCAAAAUUAAAAGUCAGCCCAAUCUCACUAGGUUUUCCCUUUCUCUCUCUCUUCACCUCUUUUUUCUUAUAUCGGUGUUUUGGUUUUCCCAGCAGAUUUGUUUUUCUAAUCUGCUCCUUUUUUCUCUCAACAAAUCUUGGUGAUUUGUUACCUAAUUCUUAGUGAGUUUGGUAGAUGAUUUGGGUGUAUAAGUGCACCCUUUUCUUUUUUUGUGUGAGACGUGAGAGACGGAAAAAAGGCGUGAAAAAAUAGAGUCGAGAAAAAUACUUUGUGUAUUUGAGAGGGAAAAAUAGAGUGAAAAGAGAGAAACCUUUUUUGAGAAGCAAAGCUCGAUUCUUUCAAUGAAUUCGAGCUUACUUCUUUAGGGAUAAACUGGUGAGAUUAGGGUGUGAAUUUGGGUUUCGUUUUUCUUCGUUUUGUUCGUUGGAAUACACUGUGUGUGUACGUGUGUGUGGCUGCCGUGAGUGUUGGAGGCCCCACUUGGAUCUUGGACGAGGACUCGGAGAUUGAGGACUGAGCCGGAUAAUCGACGACCGCCGGAGCAGCCGUCGGAGGAACUUUCGUUUGCAAUUCUGUGUGAAUUGCUCGGUUUUGUCUCUUACCCUUAUUUAUUUUUCUGCAUUAAUUAAAUCACGUUUUAUUCUAGGUUAAUUGAGCAUUAAUAUUUUAUUCUUAAAAUAUUAUGAUCUGAUUGUUGGUUUUGCUGAUUGUUGAGUGAUGCUGUCGUCGUUUGUUGCUGAUUAAUGCCAUUAUAAAUUGUUGUUAUUAAUUUAAUUAUUUAUUGAUUCUGUUGAUUAAAUAUAUUAUAUUAUAUUUUAAUUGUUUCUAAUAAAAUAUGAGUAUUUUGAUUUUGUGUGGUUUGUCUUCUCCGGGCGGAUACCCAACAGUGGUAUCAGAGCGUUGUUAAGGGUCCGUCCGGAGCGGCGUACGAAACCCUGGUCCAGGGGUUUCGCUCAGGUAUAAAUUUCUACUCUUAGUGAGUUGAUUGAUUCUUUGUGAUAUUUAUACCUGUUAUUGGUGAAUCUUGGUGAUUCUUUGUUUAUUGCUUCCGCUAAUAUUUUGUGUGAAUCUGUGUGAUUCUUUAUCUUUGUGAUAUUUGAAAAAUAUUGGAAUCUU
rnacentral:lncRNA from 1 species